rnacentral:rRNA from 1 species
GACGAACGCUGGCGGCGUGCCUAAUACAUGCAAGUAGAACGCACAGUUUAUACCGUAGCUUGCUACACCAUAAACUGUGAGUUGCGAACGGGUGAGUAACGCGUAGGUAACCUGCCUGGUAGCGGGGGAUAACUAUUGGAAACGAUAGCUAAUACCGCAUAAUAUUGAUUAUUGCAUGAUAAUUGAUUGAAAGAUGCUAUUGCAUCACUACCAGAUGGACCUGCGUUGUAUUAGCUAGUAGGUGAGGUAACGGCUCACCUAGGCGACGAUACAUAGCCGACCUGAGAGGGUGAUCGGCCACACUGGGACUGAGACACGGCCCAGACUCCUACGGGAGGCAGCAGUAGGGAAUCUUCGGCAAUGGACGAAAGUCUGACCGAGCAACGCCGCGUGAGUGAAGAAGGGUUUCGGAUCGUAAAGCUCUGUUGUAAGAGAAGAACGGGUGUGAAAGUGGAAAGUUCACACUGUGACGGUAUCUUACCAGAAAGGGACGGCUAACUACGUG